AUGCAUGUCUAAGUAUAAGCCAUUAUACCGUGAAACUGCGAAUGGCUCAUUAAAUCAGUUAUCGUUUAUUUGAUAAUACCUUACUACUUGGAUAACCGUGGUAAUUCUAGAGCUAAUACAUGCUGAAAAUCCCGACUUCGGAAGGGAUGUGUUUAUUAGAUAAAAAACCAAUGCCCUUCGGGGCUUUUUGGUGAUUCAUGAUAACUUUACGGAUCGCAUAGCCUUGCGCUGGCGACGGUUCAUUCAAAUUUCUGCCCUAUCAACUUUCGAUGGUAAGGUAUUGGCUUACCAUGGUUUCAACGGGGAACGGGGAAUUAGGGGUCGAUUCCGGAGAGGGAGCCUGAGAAACGGCUACCACAUCCAAGGAAGGCAGCAGGCGCGCAAAUCACCCAAUCCCGACAGGGGGAGGUAGUGACAAUAA
rnacentral:rRNA from 1 species